AUGCGGCCCCCGCGGCGCCUCCGUCCCCGCCCGAGCGCGCCGGCCGCGCUUCCCCCGUUGCCGCCUAUUUUAUGUCUUUUGUCUCGGAGUUGGCACCUGUCCCAGAGAGCGCGUUUCCCUGCCCACCCCUUCGCCGCCGGAUCGAGGCAGGGGAGGGGGUACGGGAGACCCGGAGAGGAGGGGACGGUGGGGGGAGCAAGGCGCCUCUGGGCCCCGCAGCUCCGGGAGACCGCCCGGGGGUGGUGGCCGUGCCCGCGCACCCUGGCGCCCCUGUUCCGAGGGGAGGUCAACACUUUGGCUGUGCCCAGAAUACCAACGAGGCCUCCCGGGGCCCCCGGCCAUGCCCGCUACGGGCGAGGACGGGGCGCGGCCCCUUCCCGCUUCCCCCCUCCGCCGCGCACCCUCCUCUUCGGGCCGGCGCGCGCGGGCGGGGCGGGCGGGGCGAGCAGCGGAUUCGCCGCCCGGGCCCCGCGCCUCGUCCCGCAGCCCCGCGUGCGCGCCCCCGCGGGCAUGCCGCCCCGGGCGCUCCCCGUCCGCGCGCCCCCGGCCCGCGGCCCCUCCCGCCUGCCCGUGCGGGGCAGGGGGCACCGCUCCGCAGAGACCCAUCAGCUUUCUGCUUCGCCCUCUGGGGCCUGCGCGCCCGAGGGGCGCGGACAGGCGCAAGCCCCGGCCCUAGCCCGCCCUCGCCGCCCUGGCACCGAGGCAGCUGCCGAAGCGUGCUCGGCGGCUGCGCUCCGAGGCGCCGGCUGCCAUGAUUGCGGGCAGCAGGGCGCGCGCGCGCACGCUCGGGCCCGGCUAGGGGAUCCCGGGCGGACCGACGGUCCCUGGCCUGACCGCAGCCCCGUGCGCGCCGCGGACAGCAGCCACAGUCGCCGGGCUCGUCCCUGCGAGGCCGCUGUGCGCCAUGGAUCUCCAGACGAGGUCCCAGGACAGAGAGACAACUUCCUGCUCCCCUGGCCCAGGGCGCAAGACCUGCGGGAAGAAGUUCUAGGCCGCAGCUUUGCUCUUUCGGAGCCGGACGACUACGCUGUUGCCCCCUGGCAGCGCGGUUCCUCCCCGCGCCCUUCCCCGGGGCCGCGACCGGCUGGACUCCAGGGUCCCGACACUGGUUAG
rnacentral:lncRNA from 1 species